GUUUAAAAGUCAGUAUGUUCAUCUACAUAUACUUGUACACACACUUGUAAAUAUAUGCACAAAAAGUAUACUAUUAACGUAGAAAACGGUCGAGUAUGCCAUUAUCAGUAGCAUAUCGUGACGACAUCAAUUAAUAGCAACGAACCAGCUUAAGCACCUCAUCCCACCGCCUGCCAACUAGAUUCAUAAAUCAUCAGACGAGGUUACACAAUCAGCUUUCUAACCUUAAAACGUCAUCAGAGCAUCACCAACUCCGUUUGAUAUUAUAAAUGAGACGCACCUGAGUGUCUGUAGCUUCCUUGCCGUUUGUGCGCCCAUAACACGUACGGCUUCACGUACUGGUCUUGCUCGUGCCAGCGCUGUUCCACGCAGUAUUAUGAGUUCGUUGCGUGCUGCAAUUGUCCUCAACAUCUUGACGCACUAAAGUAACACGCAAACAAAUUAUU